GAAAUUUUGUGAUUUUACUUGAUAAUUUUUUUUGUAACUUGUACUUUGUUUAUAAAUUGUGCCAGAAAAAUUGGAUUAUGUGAAAAAUAAUUACAAAUAUUUUGUAGUAGAGAAUUGAAAUGUUUUCAUGAAAUAAGGAGAGUUCAUAAACUUUACUCAAACCUAUCUUGUAAUUAUAUUGUUUACAAAAACUAUGUUUUGUGACUGAUAUUACAGUCUUGAAAGGCUGUUGUUACAAAUGGGAGGUUGUAAUUCAGUGUUUUAGAAAAUACACUGUAUUUAACUUAAAUGAAAAAUUAGUGAAGACAUAGAGAAAAAGUUGGAAUACAUUACAAUUUUCUAUGAAGUGAAAAAGCAAGUUAGGUUUUUUAGUGAAUUUUGUAAGUAUGGACCUUGAAGACAGCCUAUCACCACCAUUAACUGCCACGGAUGUUAGACGUGGUUCUUUGUCGUCACCUUUGCCUGGUUCCCAUGAGUCAAAUGCUUCACACAGAGAUUAUUUACAGUCUCCUGUGCAUGGGAUUGGCAGAGAUCUACAUUCACCAUUUGGGCAUUCUCAGAGGUCAUCCUCACCUGCCCCUGUGUACCAUCCCCACCCAAGGAGGCAAUCUGUAGCUGUUUCCAUGGGCUUGGAUUUACAUAGUGCUAAAUGGGAAAGAGAAAAACAAGAACUUAAGAGUAAGAUAACAGAGCUAGAGGAGUUUAAAGACAAAUAUGAAAAUGAGAAGAAAGAGAAUGAGAUACUUCAAAAUAGAUUACAAGAGCUUAUGGCAGGUCAGAGUGAUGCUACCAAAAACUUGAUGAAAACAAACGAGCUCUUGGACAGGCUGCGAAUAGACAACAAAAAGAAGAUUGAACAGAUAGAGAAGAUGCAGAGUGAUAUAAGAUUUAAAGAUGAUAGAAUGAGGAAUUUAGAAAUUAGAGCAUCUGAAGUUGAAAAAGCUGAACUUAUUCUGGAAACCACCAAGCAAAAUCUUGAAUCUACAAUACAACAAGUUAGAGUGAGGGACAAUGAGAUAAAAAGAUUGGAGAAGGACAUAGAUGACUGUAACAGACAGCUAGAGACAGCAAACAGCAGAAUAAAGGACCUGGAGGAAAAGAUGGAAGAUAUGAAGAUACAAGUCAGAUAUGAGAUCAUGAAGAAUGAAAAUAUUGAAAAGAAUUUAGAAACUAUUCCACGGUUAAAAGAUACAAUUCAGGAAAAAGAAAAGGAAAUACAGGAGCAUAAGAGACAGAUAGAGGAGAAAAAUGCACUUCUAACUGCAGCUAGAAAAGGUGUACGGGAAUAUAAAGAUAGACUCAGGAACACGGAACAAGAGAUUGCCCAAACAGAGGUGCUCAAGGAAGAAUUAGAGCUAGCCCAGUGUGAAGUCCAGUCACUGAAACAACUUAUGUAUGGCAAGGAUUAUCUUGUGUCACAGAAAACUAAAGCUCUAGACUUAUCCAAGGAGAUUAUAGGGGUUUUAAAUGAUAAUUUGGACAAUGACCACAUGCAACGGAUACAGCAUUUAAUUGACAGACUUAGUGAUAGGCCUCAAAGAACAAUAUCUGCAAGAUCUAGUGGAUCAACACUAAGUUCAUCAAAAGAAAUGGAUAACAGAGCCUCUUCAGCCCCACCACCCAGGCCUCAGAGUUGUUACCCAAACCCUAACCACAGAGAACUUGACGUCAACAACCAUCCAUAUGGCAUUGACUCUGAUCAUCAUGGCAACCAACAAAAUGGUUCCCAUGGCAACCAGUCACAUAGCAACAAAAGAUUUUCAAACCAAGUGGCUACAGAAACACCAGAUAAAAGAAAAAGACCCGUGUCGGCCAUGGCUCAGCCAGUCAAGAAACACAGUGCUCAUGUACAUAGAACCACCUCGUAUAAAGAGGCUCACAAAGUAUACACCAAACCACUUCCACGAAAAAGUAACAGUUUCGAUAUUGACAUUAUUCAAAGUCCUAGGAGCAAUACGACUUAUAAGUCGGAAAAACAUGUUCAUACUAAAUUAAAACCAUCAUUAGAUUACAGUAUAAGUACAGACAGGAGUAAUGAAAAUUUUGAUAAAAGAGAGUGCGAGUUGGCGAAGGAUGAGAAAGGACCAUUGCCUAGUGACGCUGAUUCAGUGUUUUCCUCAGAGUCGGAUUUCGAGGAGGAAAUGACGUCAGAACAGGAGUGUGUAUUAAAGGGAGUUAGUGCUCGUGAAAAAGAUGCGGCAUUGGCGGAGAUUAUAAAUGUUGGUGAUAGGGUGCUUAUUAGUAUUCCACAGAAACCUCCAAGAUACGGCAAGAAAAAAAGUUUUGAAACCUAUUAACUACAUGGGGAUUGUAAAGUUCAAGGGCAAGUUACACCCAGAGAAAUACGAUGCUAGGAUACAUGUGGGUGUUCGUAUGGACGAGCCUGUUGGAGACACAGAUGGGACAUACAGGGGCAAACGACUGAUGUAUACACCAGCUGAUCAAGGCAAAUUCUUUAAAUUAAGGGAGCUAACUUCUGUACUCAAUGUUAAG
rnacentral:misc_RNA from 1 species